rnacentral:rRNA from 1 species
UGCCAGCCGCCGCGGUAAUACGGAGGGGGCUAGCGUUGUUCGGAAUUACUGGGCGUAAAGCGCGCGUAGGCGGGCUGGUCAGUUGGGGGUGAAGUCCCGAGGCUCAACCUCGGAACUGCCCUCAAUACUACCAGUCUAGAGUUCGGGGGAGGUGAGUGGAAUUCCUAGUGUAGAGGUGAAAUUCGUAGAUAUCAGGAAGAACACCGGUGGCGAAGGCGGCUCACUGGCCCGAUACUGACGCUGAGGUACGAAAGCGUGGGGAGCAAACAGGAUUAGAUA